UACGUAGGGAGCAAGCGUUGUCCGGAAUCAUUGGGCGUAAAGCGCGCGUAGGUGGCUCUAUAAGUCCGUUGUGAAAGUCAAAGGCUCAACCUUUGAAAGCCGAUGGAUACUGUAGAGCUAGAGUCCGGAAGAGGCGAGUGGAAUUCCUGGUGUAGCGGUGGAAUGCGCAGAUAUCAGGAGGAACACCGGUGGCGAAGGCGGUUCUCUGGGCAUUCCCUGACGCUGAGGAGCGAAAGUGUGGGGAGCGAACAGG
rnacentral:rRNA from 1 species